rnacentral:rRNA from 1 species
GACGAACGCUGGCGGCGUGCUUAACACAUGCAAGUCGAACGGAAAGGCCCUGCUUUUGUGGGGUGCUCGAGUGGCGAACGGGUGAGUAACACGUGAGUAACCUGCCCUUGACUUUGGGAUAACUUCAGGAAACUGGGGCUAAUACCGGAUAGGAGCUCCUGCUGCAUGGUGGGGGUUGGAAAGUUUCGGCGGUUGGGGAUGGACUCGCGGCUUAUCAGCUUGUUGGUGGGGUAGUGGCUUACCAAGGCUUUGACGGGUAGCCGGCCUGAGAGGGUGACCGGCCACAUUGGGACUGAGAGACGGCCCAGAAUCCUACGGGAGGCAGCAGUGGGGAAUAUUGCACAAUGGGGGGAAGCCUGAUGCAGCAACGCUGCGUGCGGGAUGACGGCCUUCGGGUUGUAAACCGCUUUCGCCUGUGACGAAGCGUGAGUGACGGUAAUGGGUAAAGAAGCAACGGCUAACUACGUG